UCCCUACCCUUUUCCCCUUUCCCCUUUUCCCGGGACGUGGGCCCUUGGGUCCCCCGUCCCCUUUGUCACGGAAUCGGGCCUAACGCCCUUAAACCGUUGACAGUAAAUAAUCAGAAAUUCUAUAAACAUGUUGACUAUAGCAGGAAGUAAGAAGUCAAAAACUAAAUGAACUGUGAACUAACAGUUUCUGUAUGCUUGGUCAUAAAUUUAGUUGAUUCAGAUCUAUCUUAAUAAAGUAAGAUAUAUUCUGCAGCAUCAGCAUAUAUUUUGAUUUGUCUACAUUUUCUUAUUUUCAAAACUGCAACCAUCCUCCAAUGAAUACCGAUCACAAGAAAUGAUUUUCAAAGAGCCGAACCAGCUGUUUCAAACCUUUUCAGGUUUCAAGGAUCAUUUAUUGGAUACCUAUGGUCAGCAUGAAGAGAAAAAGUAAAGAAAUUGUCUGUGUGGAUGAACACCAGAAUUGUUUGGAUUGGUGGUUCACAGCUCCCUUCACAGCUAAUGCAAUCUACAUCAUUGGCUACACAGUAUCAGAACCACUGGAUACUUAAAGGGCAAACUAGCUUCUGUCUCCUGUUACUCCUCAUGCCUCCACAUCUCCCUGUCUGAGUAUUCCAAAAGGAGAGUUACAUCUUUGAAAUGUGAUGUGGAAAAUGGAGGUCCUGUUGAGCGCUCUGGCUUCUGAAUCAGAUCCAACAUUAGGCUGAGAAGUGGCAUUUCAGGACAGAAUUUGAUCUCGUUGUAGACUGGUGGAGUCUCUCUUGUAGGUGAGGAAAGCCAAAUAGACACUUCUGCACCUCUGUUCAGGUACUUCAGGUCAUGAGUUAGAGCUAUUAAACCUCCGUAACUCACAUGUGACAUUCCAAGAACAGUAUCUUGUUCUUAGCAAUGGGCCACAUUUUCUGUCCAGUGUAAUUCUUUUUCCACUGCUCACGUUGUAAGUCUGCUACAGUUUAAAAACACUACAUUCGUGAAGUAUUAGACUAGCGAGCACACUAAACUUAUAUUUAAAAAUUGAUUUUUCUAGGAAUUAUUAAAAUCUAGUACAUUAACCCAGGUAUCACAAUUUUCUUUUAAACUCUUAUUUUUUGUGUAUAAUGAUAUGACUUUGAAUUCACUUUUUGAGAAAUACUCAUCACAAAUACAAAAUGCCCAUCUUCAAAUAUCAUCAAAAAAGAUCCAUUAUUUUCAGUAUGUUUGCUGUCUUUCAGAUAUGCUUUCUGGUUAUUUUUAAUGCUUAAUCCAUCAUUUCGUGACCUUCAGCAUGGGAAAGGUAAAUGUAAAUCUUUCCAAUAGCAAUGAAACAAAUAGAAUGUAAAGGAAAACUGUUUUGUUUUCAGAAAAGAACUCAAAAUUAAAGCAGAGAAUGCAAAGGUAAAGCUCUGCUCUUCAGAGGAAUGUGUAAUUACUUCAGAGUAAUUAUUCAUUUUAUAUGCUUAUAAUACAUUGCUCUGAAAGUAAUACCUCCUAUUUAUGUCCAUGGAAAUUAGAACAGAUAUUGCAAGAGUGCAAUAACACUAUUUGAUAGAGCAAAUUCUCAGCUACAAAACACUAUUUUUCUGCAUAGUCACCACUAUUAGCUACACAUUUUCACCAGCAUUGAACAAGAG
rnacentral:lncRNA from 1 species